GACGAACGCUGGCGGCGUGCUUAACACAUGCAAGUCGAACGGUAAGGCCCUUCGGGGUACACGAGUGGCGAACGGGUGAGUAACACGUGGGUGAUCUGCCCUGCACUUCGGGAUAAGCCUGGGAAACAGGGUCUAAUACCGGAUAGGACCACUGCCUGCAUGGGUGGUGGUGGAAAGCUUUUGCGGUGUGGGAUGGGCCCGCGGCCUAUCAGCUUGGUGGUGGGGUGAUGGCCUACCAAGGCGACGACGGGUAGCCGGCCUGAGAGGGUGACCGGCCACACUGGGACUGAGAUACGGCCCAGACUCCUACGGGAGGCAGCAGUGGGGAAUAUUGCACAAUGGGCGCAAGCCUGAUGCAGCGACGCCGCGUGAGGGAUGACGGCCUUCGGGUUGUAAACCUCUUUCAGCACCGACGAAGCGCAAGUGACGGUAGGUGCAGAAGAAGGACCGGCCAACUACGUGCCAGCCGCCGCGGUAA
rnacentral:rRNA from 1 species